ensembl:lncRNA
AUGAAUGAGAUAAAGAAGGGAUGGCCUGUUCAAUCUCACAUCAUCCAGCAAACCUAUAAAAGCAGAAAGAAACCAGAGACCAAUAGGGUAAAAGAGAUUUCUAAAGGACUUAUUGAGGAAAGGACAUGUAUUGAUUCUCAGCUCCACUGGGCAGCUUUCACCAGACACAGACCAUCAAACAGUGUACCUUGUUGUUUCCAACAAACCCACAACCUGACAGAACUGAGAAUAUCUGCGCUUCUCUGCAAAAUGAAGAAUGAUGGAUGAAAGAAAACCUGAUUUGGCCAGAAAGGUAUCCUAUACCACCAAGGGAAUUGGACUCCAGUUUGGCAGUUACCAAAGGUAACUUGCUUCUCCAAAGUGUUUUCCAUUCUGAAGGGCUCAGCAACCGCUACACCUCCCCUGCUUUCCACUCUUCUGUCUUUUCUCUUGCCAUGUCUAUAUUUAUUAUCAAGCAGGAAAUCAAUCUUUACUCCUACAGUCCUGAACUGAAAGAUGAGUAAGAGAAUUAAGCCUUUCUUGUUGCUAAGGACUUCUGGCUAGCAUAAUGGAUUCUAAACAAAUAACCUGCAUCUGGUAGAAGGACUCUGACAUAUUUUGAUUAAGUUAUUCUUGUUUAACCAUUUGUUUUCAAUUUUCAAAUGCUUUGUGUUUUGUUUUUGUAAGUACUAAUCAGUAUACUUUCCAGCUUUAGCAUGAAUUUCUUGUGCAGCUACUGUGUGACUGAGCAGGCUGAGCUCUCUGUACUUAAAACCACAAACCGUGUUAAAUGGUUUAACACUUUAGAUUGGUUAGAUUACAUGAACACCUAAGACUGAAUUCUCAUUUAUUCCAUUGAAACUAACUCAGUGUGGCUGGUUACAUAUGACUAUUGUUGCUUCUGGUGCUGCUCUUUAUUAAAGAUAUGCUUGCUCUAAAAUUCUAAACCCCUCCCUGCAUCGCUAUAUAACGUCUAGGGUAACAAGUAGAAAGAAAAAUACAAGCUCUCUUAUUUUUAGCUUAUUUGUCCAUGUAGGUGUCAAAGUAAAACGUCAAGAAGACACAACUAAAUACUGAUGCUUUGGCAAACCACUGAUGAAGGAAAAAAUGGAGGUACUGGAGGCUUUUACCUGUUACUGCAUUUAACAUCACUGGAUUGUGAGAAAAAUGUAAGUUAAAACACAAUAUAUUAUAGAGAUAGUAGAGCAUCUGUAACCAGCAAUAUUUCACUCGGGAUAAAUGAUCAUGUCCUGUUCUCAAUGAAAAGAAGCUUGGGAGCCCAUGGAAUGGCAGAAGAUGAAUCUCUGUUUCCUUUUACAUGUCCUUUCAAGGUGAAAGAGGUCAAAUCAAGCAGUCUCUAAGCUUAUAAAUCACUCUGCUAGGCUAGUUUAAAAUAUCAUUCUACAGAAACAUAGGUGACAAGUUUCUAAAAUGAAGAUAAAAGAAUUUGCUGUCAAGGAUUUGAUUUGUUGAAGGCUUUCAGCAAGGGCUUUGGACAGGAAGGGAAAGAAGAAAUGCUAAAGAAAAUAGGAAAAUCUCUGGAGAGUAGAGUUGUUAAGUCUAGAAAACUGAAGAAGCCCUGGGAUCCUACAGCAUAGGAUUUGUGACAAAAGAUGGGACUGGAAGAAAAAUGAUGAAAUACAAUUGCAAAUAAAGUGCAAAACAUCUUUUUUUUUUUUUUUUUU